rnacentral:rRNA from 1 species
GACGAACGCUGGCGGCGUGCUUAACACAUGCAAGUCGAACGAAGUGGCGAACGGGUGAGUAACGCGUAAUCAACCUGCCCUUCAGAGGGGGACAACAGUUGGAAACGACUGCUAAUACCCCAUACUGAAGGAGGGGAUUGCGUCUGAUUUGCUAGGUGGAGGGGUAACGGCCCACCAAGACGAUGAUCAGUAGCCGGUCUGAGGGGAUGAACGGCCACAUUGGGACUGAGACACGGCCCAGACUCCUACGGGAGGCAGCAGUGGGGAAUCUUCCGCAAUGGACGAAAGUCUGACGGAGCAACGCCGCGUGAGUGAUGACGGCCGUCGGGUUGUAAAGCUCUGUUAAUCGGGACGCGGUACCGGAAUAGAAAGCCACGGCUAACUACGUGCCAGCAGCCGCGGUAAUUC